UACGGGGGGGGCAAGCGUUGUUCGGAAUUACUGGGCGUAAAGCGCGCGUAGGCGGCUUUGCAAGUCGGGUGUGAAAUCCCCAGGCUUAACCUGGGAACUGCAUUCGAGACUGCAUUGCUAGAGUAUGGGAGAGGGAAGUGGAAUUUCAGGUGUAGCAGUGAAAUGCGUAGAUAUCGUAAGGAAGACCAGUGGCGAAGGCGAGUCUCUGGACAGCAACUGACGCUGAGGCACGAAGGCCAGGGGAGCAAACAGG
rnacentral:rRNA from 1 species